GCCCAAUUAGCUCAGCGGUAGAGCAUCGGACUUGUAAGCCGACGACGUCAGUUCGAUUCUGACAUUGGGCUCUA
rnacentral:tRNA from 1 species